GUUUUGUUUUUAAUUUUUAAGGCCAAUUAGGAACCUCAGGAUAUUUUUGGAUGUGAUUCAGAUUUUUUACGCGCUCUUCAGACGCAAAAAGGAACAUUUUAUGUCCUAUGACAGGCGGAUUAAUGAAAAAAAAUUUAAAAAAAUUUUUUUCGUUCCACCCUAAUGUAGAACCUUGUGUAGAAGAAAGUGUGGCAAGUACACCAGCAAACGAUUGGAGUACCUACACACCAACUAUGUUGCGGACAAAAAAACAUAAAUUGCUGAGAGAGAAAAAAGGUGAUACAACAAAUAAGAAUGCACUUACAUCAUCUAAGGUGUUAAAUGAAAUAACCAAUUCCAAAAUUGAGUUGAAUAAAUUAAAAAAAGAUUUAUUAACUCAAGAGAUUAGAGAAAAGGCAGAACUAAACAAAGAGAUUUUAGACACUCAUAAAUUAAAAAAGGAAAAUUUAAGAUUACAAAAUGAGUUGCUAUC